rnacentral:rRNA from 1 species
AGAGUUUGAUCCUGGCUCAGGAUGAACGCUGGCGGCGUGCCUAAUACAUGCAAGUCGGACGGAGGAUUAGCAAUAAUUCUUAGUGGCGAACGGGUGAGUAACGCGUUGGUGACCUGCCCCGAAGAGGGGGAUAACAGUUCGAAAGGACUGCUAAUACCCCAUGAGGUCUGCCUGGUUAGAGGCGGGCAGACGAAAGGAGAAAUCCGCUUUGGGAGGGGCCUGCGUCCCAUCAGCUAGUUGGUAAGGUAAAAGCUUACCAAGGCGAAGACGGGUAGGGGACCUGAGAGGGUGACCCCCCACACUGGCACUGAAACACGGGCCAGACACCUACGGGUGGCAGCAGUAGGGAAUAUUGCACAAUGGGCGAAAGCCUGAUGCAGCAACGCCGCGUGAGCGAAGAAGGCCUUCGGGUCGUAAAGCUCUUUUCGGGGAGAUGAGGAAGGACAGUAUCCCCGGAAUAAGACUCGGCUAACUACGUGCCAGCAGCCGCGGUAACACGUAGGAGUCAAGCGUUAUCCGAAUUCACUGGGCGUAAAGCGCGUGUAGGCGGCGCAAAAAGUUGGAUGUAAAAGCUCCUGGCUCAACUGGGAGAGGACGUUCAAUACUUUUGUGCUAGAGGACGGCAGAGGGAGGUGGAAUUCCCGGUGUAGUGGUGAAAUGCGUAGAUAUCGGGAGGAACACCAGUGGCGAAGGCGGCCUUCUGGGCCGUUUCUGACGCUCAGACGCGAAAGCUAGGGGAGCAAACGGGAUUAGACACCCCGGUAGUCCUAGCUGUAAACGAUGUAGACUUGGUGUAGGUGGUGUAAAAGCCAUCUGUGCCGAAGCCAACGCGAUAAGUCUACCGCCUGGGGACUACGGCCGCAAGGUUAAAACUCAAAGGAAUUGACGGGGGCCCGCACAAGCAGCGGAGCGUGUGGUUUAAUUCGAUUUACACGAAGAACCUUACCCGGGUUUGAAAUGCAAGUGGUAGGGAACUGAAAGGGGACCGACCCUUCGGGGAGCUUGCACAGGUGCUGCAUGGCUGUCGUCAGCUCGUGUCGUGAGAUGUCCGGUUAAGUCCGGUAACGAGCGCAACCCCUGCUGUAUGUUACAAGUGUCAUACGGGGCUGCCGGUAUAAAGCCGGAGGAAGGUGGGGAUGACGUCAAGUCAGCAUGGCCUUUAUGUCCGGGGCUACACACACGCUACAUUGGCCAGAACAAUGGGUAGCAAAGCCGCGAGGUGGAGCCAAUCCUCAAAUUUGGUCACAGUUCAGAUUGCAGGCUGCAACCCGCCUGCAUGAAGCCGGAGUUGCUAGUAACCGCGCGUCAGCUAUAGUGCGGUGAAUACGUUCCCGGGCCUUGUACACACCGCCCGUCACGUCAUGGGAGCUGGCAACACCUGAAGCCGGUAUCCUAACCGAAAGGGGGGAGCCGUCGAAGGUGGGGCUGGUGACUGGGACGAAGUCGUAACAAGGUA